rnacentral:lncRNA from 1 species
UUCUGUGAUACCAAAAUGUUUUGUUUCACAGUUAGGAACACAGUCUGAGUAAUCCUAUAAGCAAUAACAUGGCCGCUUUCUCUACAAAACAAUCCACUUCUAUCAAUUUUUUGCCUUAAUAGUUUCUAAACCAAUUUCUAUGCCAACUAAACUGCAGCUUUGAAAUUGAGAGGUAUCCAGAACUUCACUAGAAUGAACACAUUUUUCGCUUCCUAUUUAAGUACACGUGGCUCAGAUCUGCACAUGUGCCCACACCCACAUGCACACACACACGCACACACACAGACACACACACACACACACACACACAAUGUAGACAGAGUACCAUUCUUAGCAUUUAUCAUUCUCAUAAUUUCCAACAUAAAAAUUGCUAAAAGCUUUCAUUGCUUCAGUAGUUUUAUUAGUAACUUGUGUGUUUUUAAUAAAACUACUGCAAUAUAUAAAGGCAACAAAGCUCCUAGUAGAUUAUACAUCACUUCAACAUGCCACCAUUGGGGAAGAAAUAAGGGAGGUUACAUUUUUGCUCUUGGGAACUUAAAAAGGUAAAUUAAUUUAUGCCAACAAAGAGAAAUCAAUAGCACAUUGUGCACAAGAGAAGAAUCAAUCAUCAAUUCUCUGGCUUCUGUAUUCAUAAUGACAUGAAUUUAUUGAGGAAAACGUCGCCCUCGGUAUGAACUGAGUUUGCCACAGAAGUCUCUCAGCUCAUCCAAGACACAGUCAAAGCCCCCGCGCUGGAAUUUUGCAGUGGCCCCCAACAGGAUUCCACACAAAGGAUUCAAAGUUUCCGGUCUUCACCUAGGUCUUCAAUCCAUUUGACUUCAUUUUUGUACAUGUUGAGAGACAAAGUUCUAGUUUCAGUCUUCUACAAGUGGCUAUCCAGAUUUCCCAGAACCUAAAGAGGUUGUAUUUUCCCCAGAAUAAAUUUUUGGCUUCUUUGUCCAGAAGCAGGUGGCCAUUGUUGCACAGAAUCAUAUAAAAAUGUUGAAAUGAAGACUAAUCUCGACUCAAAUUGAAAGGGAGGGGGUUUGUUCCCCCUGAAGUUUUUCCACUAUGGUAAGGAGAAGAAGGCAUAGUUCACUUAUAAAAGAUGCAGAAAUGACCAUUUAGAAAUUCCCAUUGAGAAAGAAAAUGAAAUGUAAAUUCCUUCUUGCUUAUUGGGAAGAGAGAAUGCGAAGUACACAGGUCUACUUGCACAGAAGAUGUUCUGAUCAAGUCAGGUGAAGAUGAGCCUUGAGGAUGGAGCUUGUCAGCAAACUGCCAGACAGAUGUACACUGCCGGUACGAUGGUAGCAGGGUUUGUGUCGAUUGGCUCCUGCUCCCAGACAUGUGAUAUCUUGCUUCCAAGACUUGUUUCGGCUGUUAAUGGAAAUGCCUCUGUAGUUUCAAGGCUAAGUAUGAUCCUGUCUGUUGGCUUCAAGAGGUAGCCUUCAUUGUAAAGGCAGCAGAAGUCAGAAUGCAAGGCAAAUAAGUCAACAUGAAUAGGGAACUAACAGAGGUUCACAGCUAAAAGUUUACCUGGAUUCUCAGAAGAGACUUGGACUUUUGAAAAAUGCUGGAACUGUUGAGACUUUGGGAUGUGCCAUCUCAGGAAGAAAACUGGAGACAACCCCAUAACUUGGACUUUCACCACAGUGUUGCUGCCAGUUAAACUCUGACCUGUUACUGUCCCUCCCACAAGUCUUCCUUGACUACAUCAUUAUAAAAGAUAUUCUCCAAUAAUUACUCACUAGCCCAGUAUCUUGCUGUGUGUUUGUGUGUUUUUUAUUUAUAAUAAUAAUUAUUCCAAACUAGAGUAAUGAUAUUUAUUUGUUCUUUCUUCACGG